AUUGAACGCUGGCGGCAGGCUUAACACAUGCAAGUCGAGCGGGGUGAUGGUGCUUGCACUAUCACUUAGCGGCGGACGGGUGAGUAAUGCUUGGGAAUCUGCCUAUUAGUGGGGGACAACAUCUCGAAAGGGAUGCUAAUACCGCAUACGUCCUACGGGAGAAAGCAGGGGAUCACUUGUGACCUUGCGCUAAUAGAUGAGCCUAAGUGGGAUUAGCUAGUUGGUGGGGUAAAGGCCUACCAAGGCGACGAUCUGUAGCGGGUCUGAGAGGAUGAUCCGCCACACUGGGAGUGAGAGACGGCCCAGACGCCUGCGGGAGGGAGAAGUGGGGAAUAUUGGACAAUGGGGGGAACCCUGAUCCAGCCAUGCCGCGUGUGUGAAGAAGGCCUUAUGGUUGUAAAGCACUUUAAGCGAGGAGGAGGCUCUUUUGGUUAAUACCCAAGAUGAGUGGACGUUACUCGCAGAAUAAGCACCGGCUAACUCUGUGCCAGCCGCCGCAGUAA
rnacentral:rRNA from 1 species